UGUAGGCAAGGGAAGUCGG
rnacentral:snRNA from 1 species